CUACGGGGUGCUGCAGUGAGGGAUCUUGCGCAAUGGGCGAAAGCCUGACGCAGCGACGCCGCGUGGAGGAUGAAGGUCUUCGGAUUGUAAACUCCUGUUAAGUGGGAAGAAAAGCCUGUUUUUAAUACAAGCAGGUUAUGACGGUACCAUUAGAGAAAGCACCGGCGAACUUCGUGCCAGCAGCCGCGGUAAUACGAGGGGUGCUAGCGUUAUUCGGAAUCAUUGGGCGUAAAGGGUGCGUAGACGGUAUGGCAAGUCUGCUGUUAAAUAUUCCGGCCUAACCGGAAAGGUGCGGUGGAAACUGCUGUGCUAGAGGAUGGAAGAGAGAAGUGGAAUUCUCGGAGUAGCGGUAAAAUGCGUGGAUCUCGAGAGGAACACCAAUGGCGAAGGCAGCUUCUUGGUCCAUUUCUGACGUUGAGGCACGAAAGCGUGGGGAGCAAACAGGAUUAGAUACCCGAGUAGUC
rnacentral:rRNA from 1 species